rnacentral:rRNA from 1 species
UACAGAGGGUGCAAGCGUUGUUCGGAAUUAUUGGGCGUAAAGCGCGUGUAGGCGGCUUUGCAAGUCUGGUGUGAAAGCCCUCAGCUCAACUGAGGAAGUGCGCCCGAAACUGCAGAGCUUGAGUACCGGAGAGGAUGGUGGAAUUCCCCAAGUAGAGGUGAAAUUCGUAGAUAUGGGGAGGAACACCGGUGGCGAAGGCGACCAUCUGGACGGAUACUGACGCUGAGACGCGAAAGCGUGGGUAGCAAACAGG